AACUAGAAAAAGGAUGAGCAAGAGGGAUGAGCCAAUUAUGUCAACAGCUCAGGCACCUCUGACCUCCAGGAAAGGGCUCAAGACCCGGCUCUUGCUUAAGUCAACUGAAGGAAAAUGCCUACUCACUCCUUUAUCAAGAGUUUGACAUUAUUAUGAAACUGUGGCUCUUACCCUCUCACUCCUUAUUUUGUUCCAAGGGAUAUUUUGGGAAGGAAGGAAUGAGA
rnacentral:lncRNA from 1 species